GGGACACGUGGUAUCCUGUCUGAAUAUGGGGGGACCAUCCUCCAAGGCUAAAUACUCCUGACUGACCGAUAGUGAACCAGUACCGUGAGGGAAAGGCGAAAAGAACCCCGGCGAGGGGAGUGAAAAAGAACCUGAAACCGUGUACGUACAAGCAGUGGGAGCACGCUUAGGCGUGUGACUGCGUACCUUUUGUAUAAUGGGUCAGCGACUUAUAUUCUGUAGCAAGGUUAACCGAAUAGGGGAGCCGAAGGGAAACCGAGUCUUAACUGGGCGUUAAGUUGCAGGGUAUAGACCCGAAACCCGGUGAUCUAGCCAUGGGCAGGUUGAAGGUUGGGUAACACUAACUGGAGGACCGAACCGACUAAUGUUGAAAAAUUAGCGGAUGACUUGUGGCUGGGGGUGAAAGGCCAAUCAAACCGGGAGAUAGCUGGUUCUCCCCGAAAGCUAUUUAGGUAGCGCCUCGUGAAUUCAUCUCCGGGGGUAGAGCACUGUUUCGGCAAGGGGGUCAUCCCGACUUACCAACCCGAUGCAAACUGCGAAUACCGGAGAAUGUUAUCACGGGAGACACACGGCGGGUGCUAACGUCCGUCGUGAAGAGGGAAACAACCCAGACCGCCAGCUAAGGUCCCAAAGUCAUGGUUAAGUGGGAAACGAUGUGGGAAGGCCCAGACAGCCAGGAUGUUGGCUUAGAAGCAGCCAUCAUUUAAAGAAAGCGUAAUAGCUCACUGGUCGAGUCGGCCUGCGCGGAAGAUGUAACGGGGCUAAACCAUGCACCGAAGCUGCGGCAGCGACACUAUGUGUUGUUGGGUAGGGGAGCGUUCUGUAAGCCUGUGAAGGUGUGCUGUGAGGCAUGCUGGAGGUAUCAGAAGUGCGAAUGCUGACAUAAGUAACGAUAAAGCGGGUGAAAAGCCCGCUCGCCGGAAGACCAAGGGUUCCUGUCCAACGUUAAUCGGGGCAGGGUGAGUCGACCCCUAAGGCGAGGCCGAAAGGCGUAGUCGAUGGGAAACAGGUUAAUAUUCCUGUACUUGGUGUUACUGCGAAGGGGGGACGGAGAAGGCUAUGUUGGCCGGGCGACGGUUGUCCCGGUUUAAGCGUGUAGGCUGGUUUUCCAGGCAAAUCCGGAAAAUCAAGGCUGAGGCGUGAUGACGAGGCACUACGGUGCUGAAGCAACAAAUGCCCUGCUUCCAGGAAAAGCCUCUAAGCAUCAGGUAACAUCAAAUCGUACCCCAAACCGACACAGGUGGUCAGGUAGAGAAUACCAAGGCGCUUGAGAGAACUCGGGUGAAGGAACUAGGCAAAAUGGUGCCGUAACUUCGGGAGAAGGCACGCUGAUAUGUAGGUGAAGUCCCUCGCGGAUGGAGCUGAAAUCAGUCGAAGAUACCAGCUGGCUGCAACUGUUUAUUAAAAACACAGCACUGUGCAAACACGAAAGUGGACGUAUACGGUGUGACGCCUGCCCGGUGC
rnacentral:rRNA from 1 species